AACGAACGCUGGCGGCAUGCCUAACACAUGCAAGUCGAACGAUUGCCUUCGGGUGAUAGUGGCGCACGGGUGCGUAACGCGUGGGAAUCUGCCCUUAGGUUCGGAAUAACAGCUGGAAACGGCUGCUAAUAACGGAUGAUAUCGCGAGAUCAAAGAUUUAUCGCCUGAGGAUGAGCCCGCGUUGGAUUAGGUAGUUGGUGGGGUACAGGCCUACCAAGCCGACGAGCCAUAGCUGGUCUGAGAAGAUGAUCAACCACAAGUGGACUGAGACACGGCCCAGACUCCUACGGGAGGCAGCAGUGGGGAAUAUUAGACAAUGGGCGCAAGCCUAAUCCAGCAAUGCCGCGUGAGUGAUGAAGGCCCUAGGGUUGUAAAGCUCUUUUACCCGAGAAGAUAAUGACUGUACCGGGAGAAUAAGCCCCGGCUAACUCCGUG
rnacentral:rRNA from 1 species